UGAUAUGGAAGCCAGGCAGU
rnacentral:piRNA from 1 species